rnacentral:rRNA from 1 species
UACGAAGGGGGCUAGCGUUGUUCGGAUUUACUGGGCGUAAAGGGCGCGUAGGCGGCUCAUGAAGGCUGUGGUGAAAGUCCGGGGCUCAACCUCGGAUCGGCCGUGGCGACUCGUGGGCUGGAGCACUGUAGAGGCGGGUGGAAUUCCGGGUGUAGCGGUGGAAUGCGUAGAGAUCCGGAAGAACACCAGUGGCGAAGGCGGCCCGCUGGGCAGUGGCUGACGCUGAGGCGCGACAGCGUGGGGAGCAAACAGG